CAGUCGUGCCCGGGUGAUGCUGGGUAGAAGCGGGAAAGUGGUGUGCACUUUAAAAGUGGACUCCAAGUACAGCCAUAGUUAGUAACUAUGGUAGAGCAUAGGACAAGGCCAAGUUCAGCUCCUUGGAGUAGAAGGAGGUUCAAAUCGCGGAUGGAUACAACAGCUCCAGAACGAUGGAGCAAAUGGAAACCUCACAGAAUGGAUAGAUAAGUUACAAGAGCUUUUCGGUGAUCCGUGAAACAUGCACAAG